UGAGUACGAGAUGCUACGGCAUCGAAGCAGUCUAUGUCAUACUUCCAAGAAAAGCUUGCAAUGUCAUAAACAAAUAAUGCCUGUACCAUAACCGACACAGGUGGGUAGGUAGAGUAUACUAAGGGGCGCGAGAUAACUCUCUCUAAGGAACUCGGCAAAAUGACUCCGUAACUUCGGGAGAAGGAGUGCCUUAUCUUUAUAAGGUUGCAAUAACAAGGUCCAAGCAACUGUUUACCAAAAACACAGGUCUCCGCUAAGUCGUAAGACGAUGUAUGGGGGCUGACGCCUGCCCAGUGCCAGAAGGUUAAAGAAGUUGGUUAGCAUUAGCGAAGCUGAUAACUGAAGCCCUGGUGAACGGCGGCCGUAACGAUAACGGUCCUAAGGUAGCGAAAUUCCUUGUCGGGUAAGUUCCGACCCGCACGAAAGGCGUAAUGAUUUGGAUACUGUCUCGGAGAGGGGCUCGGUGAAAUAGACUUGUCUGUGAAGAUGCGGACUACCUGCACCUGGACAGAAAGACCCUAUGAAGCUUUACUGUAACUUGAGAUUGAAAUUGGACUUUAUCUGCGCAGUAUAGGUGGGAGACGUUGAAAAUAUUCUUGCGGGAAUAUUGGAGUCAUCAGUGAGAUACCACUCUUAUAAUGUUAGAUUUCUAACUUUGUAUCAUUAUCUGGUCAAAGAACAGUUUCAGGCGGGCAGUUUGACUGGGGCGGUCGCCUCCCAAACGGUAACGGAUGCGCACAAAGGUUUCCUCUGAACGUGUAGAAAUCGUAUCUAGAGUGUAAAGGCAUAAGGAAGCUUGACUGUGAGACCUACAAGUCGAGCAGGGACGAAAGUCGGUCUUAGUGAUCUGACGGUGCUGAGUGGAAAGGCCGUCACUCAACGGAUAAAAGUUACUCUAGGAUAACAGGCUGAUCUCCCCCAAGAGUUCACAUCGACAGGGAGGUUUGGCACCUCGAUGUCGGCUCAUCGCAUCCUGGGGCGGUAGUACGUCCCAAGGGUUGGGCUGUUCGCCCAUGAAAGCGGUACGCGAGCUGGGUUCAGAACGUCGUGAGACAGUUCGGUCCAUAUCCGGUGUAGGCGUUAGAAUAUUGAGAGGAGCCUUCUUUAGUACGAGAGGACCGAGAAGGACAUACCUCUGGUGUACCAGUUAUCGUGCCAACGGUAAACGCUGGGUAGCCAUGUAUGGAGAGGAUAACCGCUGAAAGCAUCCAAGUGGGAAGCCCACCUCAAGAUAAG
rnacentral:rRNA from 1 species